GAAAUUUUAUGACAUCAAUGUCUUUUUUAUGGUCAGUCUAAUCUAAAGACCUGUGUGAUGUUUAGUUGUGAAGAUCUUGAAUUUUUGUUAAAAGGCAUGUCCAUGUCGCCAUGACGAAGUUCGAUGUCUCGCCAUGGGAAUAAAAGAUGUUAUAACUCAGGCAUAAAAUGUCCGAUCUUGCCCAAACUUCACAUGUGUGAUAAGGGUCCUGGCUUGAACACAUCUGAAGGCCAAUAUUCCAUUAUAACGAUAGCGCCACCUGCUGGCAACAGGAAGAUUGGCACACAUAUGGAAUAAACUUUGAUAUAUUGCACUUAUAUUUAUGAGUUUAAAUGCAUAUUUCUCAAAGUUCACCUUUUUACUAAAGCCACACGAUGGCGGUGAGCCCGGGUGCGAGGGCCCGUUCAUCGCUGCUUGCAGCUUUAAUUAGGGCUCAAGCCUGGAGGGCGAGAGCCCUAUUGUUUUCCUUAGGAUUAUUUUUUAUUAUUAUUAUUAUUAUUAUUUUUUUCUAACGUUACGGGGGCUUUUGGGGUCCUUAACAUGCUCGAAAACUCUUGAAAAUUGGCACACAGAUUGGAACCUGCGGCCAUUAGGGUCGGGCAGAGACUGAUACACGGGCGUGGCACAGGGGCUCUACAGCGCCCCCUGGAAUACUGAGGGCCAUAUAUCACACAUACUUGCACGUAGACACAUGAAACUCGGUACACAUGUAGAUCUCAUUAAACCAAACAACUUUCGUACUGCAUGUCAUAGGCUCCGCCCAACAGGAAGUUGGCUAUUUAGGGUUUAUUAUUCAUAUUUUUGGUCAAAGUUGUGGGGGCUUUUGGGGUCCCUAACAUACUCAAAAACUCUUGAAAAUUUGCGCACACUUUGGAAUCUGUGGCCUUUAGGAGCCUGCAGAGGCUGGGACCCGGGCGUGGCACAGGGGCUCUACGGCGCCCCCUGGAACACAGUCAGAAAUGUUGAUGUAUAGCUCACACAUACUUGCACAUAUUCAUAUGAAACUCAGUACACAUAUAGAUCUCAUCGUGCCGAACAACUUUCGUAUUGCAUGUCAUAGGCUUCACCCAACAGGAAGUCAGCUAUUUAGAGUUAUGUAAAAAGCGCAUGCUCUGGAAUUUGAAAUACUUGUCAUAGGUUUUUUUCUCGAUUGCCGCCAAACUCAGUCAACAUGAUCUCAAGACACUGGGGAUGAAAAAUUGCCAGGGGAUUUUUGAUAUCUCGAACGGUUUGCUCGUGGCGAGGCGUUGAAAUUAUGGCGAGAAAUUAGAAACAGGAAGUGUCUAAUACCAUCCACAUACAUUUCCUGAUUUUAAUCAAACUUCAUCAGAUUAUUCGUUGUAUGAUGUCGAUCGCAUAUAUGUGACUAUUAGGAGUCAAAGUUAUAGCGCCACCAACUGGCAGAAGGAAGUGUGUCAUUUUCAAAAUGAUUUGAAUUCAGCAUCUUAUUAUUACUCGAUUUGCUUCAAACUUCAUCAGAAUAAUGUUAAAACACAGCUGAUAUAAAUCUGCAAGGGGGAUAUUGAUAUCUAAAAAAUUGUUGCCGUGGCAACAUGUCAAACUGGAAUACUUCUCAGGUGAUUUUGAGGCAUAUAACAUGCUUAGAAUUUCAUCAAACUCAGAACACAUAUCAGUAUUAGUGACAGCUAGACACUGGCAAAAGUUCAUAAGAGGGCGUGGAAUAGGCACUCUAUAGCGCCACCUUUUGUCAAAAGUGGGGGGGUUAGUUUUAGCUACAGACACCAAACUCAGUACAAAAAUUGUUCUUAUCAAGACGGACAACUUUCUAAUUCACAGUCAUCAGCUACGACCAACAGGAAGUUGGCUAUUUUGAUUUGAAUGUGGAUUAUUUUUUACAUUUAGCCGUGAAUUAAUGCAUACUGCUCAGAAGAGAGUAACACUAUACACACCAAACUUGGUCUACAUGUUGAAAAAACAUUGAGGAACUUAAAUUGUGAAUGGGUUUUGGAUAGCUUGGAUGGUUUUGUCGUGGUGAUUUUUUUAAAUGACAAUAAAGAUGGAAUUAUUAAUUUUCCUGCAUUUUUAAAUUCCAAACACUUCAAAACCUUUUUUCAUACAGAAAAAAAAGUUAUUCUGAGUAAAUAUGCAUAGUUUCAUGACUUUACAACACUGUAUGGAUAACAGAAAAUUAAAAAACUGUCAGACAUCUCAUCUCACUCUGUCCAUCUGUUUGAGUGUGUGUGCUUAGACUUCCAUUGUCUGACAGAAAUAGCGCCCCUACAGGUUCAGUUACCGGACUAAAAAAGGGAGGAGACUGUCUUUUGGUUUCGAUUUUAAAUCGGUUAAAAUACAAAUAAAUACUUGGAUUUAAUUCACAGUGACAAGCUAAACCAACAUAUAUGAUUAUUAUCAGGUCAGGGCUCAUUAAUAAUUGAUGUGUGGUCAGUGAUACGUGAGAAACACGAGAGAUGAAUCACCGCUCUGAGCAGGAGCGUGUGGAAUGAUGAGCUCAGAAAAAAAACGAGUUUAUUCUUGUUUUAUAGCUAUUAAAAAUAAAGUAUUGCAGCGAUAUCACACAAUACACCAAUUAGAACACACCAAGAGCUAAAUUAAGAUGUUUUUGAACUGUUUGUGU